CCUAGCCUAGAAAGACCAUAUCAGUCCCAAAAGAAAGAAAAAAACCAGUACUAUGCCGUUAAUAAGCUAUUUCAAGGGAAAAAAAAAAACCUACUGGUGUCUCUCUCUCUCACCCUAGUUCUUUUCUUUUCCUCCAGCCACCAAAUGUUUUUGCUCUCCCUCUCUCUCUCCAGGAGAUGCUACUGUCAAUCAUGACUUGUCAAUGGUAUGUCUUCUUCUCUUUCUCUUCUUGAUGUUCUUUCUCUCAUCCCAAACCACCUUCUUCUUCCUCUUCUCUUUUUCUUUUUGAUUUUGUUUCUCGCAUCCCAAACACCAAAACCCGACUGCACUCUGGUUGGUUCGGCCCCGUUCCUUCCUUACAAAUCGGUGUUGGUUUCGAAACAUGGAAAAACCGACAUCCGACCCAAAUCGAUUAUUUCAUCCCUAGUUAAUGGGUAUUCGCUCAUGUUCAAGAAUAUGUUUAAUUGACUCGUAUUUACUUCAACACCGCCACAUUUUCAGUAAAAAAUGUCUUUUUAGAGCUUAUUAUACUGCUGCUUCAGCACUGUCUUCCGAAGUAGACCAUGUGUUCGAUGAAUGUCCUAAACCAAAACUUGAAGUUAAUGUUACUGAUGAAGUUAGUGUUUUUACAAGUAUUUGGAAAGAGCCCAAACUGUUUCCCUUAGUUGGUAGGGUGUUCAAGUCUUUGAAUUGGAUGGUUGCAAGGGAAAUACGAUUUUCGACCGCUGUGGGGAAGCAUGGAUUUGCUCAUGCAACCAAUGCAUUUAGAAUGGUGGUUCAUAUUUUCGCUUUAUGUGGGAUGCGGAGGGAAGUGUAUGCUUUGCUUAGAGAUAUGGUUGGAUAUUAUAAUGAAGUUAAUUAUGAUGCUUUUGAGUUGUUCCCGAAUUUGCUGGACUCACCUCGCCACGCGGUGAGAUCGCUUGUUGUAUUUGAUGUACUAAUAAAAGUAUUCGCGGCCAAUUCAAUGCUUGAGUAUGCUGUGGAUGUGUUUUUGCGUGCUAAGAGUAUUGGGCUUAAACCCGAUAUUUGUUCGUGUAAUUUCUUGUUAAAGUGUUUGGCGGAAGCUAAUAAAGUGGAAUUUGUUAGAAGUUUAUUUGAAGAUUUUAAAAAUUCUGGGCCGCCGCCUACUGUUUACACCUACACAAUUAUGAUGAAUUUGUACUGUAAAGGGGAUACUGGUCGGGAUGUAGAUAUCGGACAAGCAACUGAAAUUCUAGAAGAAUUGGAGAGAAGUGGGGAAAUCCCAACUGUUGUGACAUACAGUACAUAUAUCCAUGGACUUUGUAAAGUUGGUUGUGAUGAGUUUGCCUUGGACUUAAUUCGGAAUUUGAGAUGUAGAAACCAACCUCUCAAUAGUUAUUGUUAUAAUGCUAUUAUUUAUGCGUUUUGCCAAAAAGAUAAAGCAUAUGAAGCUUUGGAAAUUUUGGAAGAAAUGAAGAGCUAUGGAAUACUUCCAGAUGUUUACAGUUACAGCAUUUUGAUCGAUGGGUUUUGUAAGAAAGGGGAUAUUGAGAAAGGUCUUAAAUUUAUUGAGGAAAUGGAUCAUUAUGGUUUAAGGCCAUCGCUAGUUACUUAUAGUUCACUCUUCUAUGGUCUAUGUAAGAGUGGACUGAUGGACAUCUCACUAGAUAUGUUCCAUAAUCUUGGGGCUACUGGUUAUGUAUAUGAUCAUAUUGCUUAUGGAAUCUUAAUCAAUGGAUUUUGUAUGCUGGGUGAUAUGCAUUCAGCCAAUAAACUUUUGGAGGAGAUGAUCAGCAAUAAUUUGGUUCCUGCUGCUUUCAUUUUCCACAGUCUGAUACAUGGGUUCUGCAAGAUGGGGAUCUUAGAUAAGGCCUUGGAAGUUUUCAAUAACAUGCUACAACAUGGUGUCUUGCCUGAUACCAUCACUUGCAAUGUUAUAAUUGAUGGAUAUUGCAAGGUAGGGCACUUUGAGGAAGCCACGAAACUUAUGGGUGAAAUGCAAGAACUGGGCAUUUCUGUUAACUCGUAUACCUAUAAUGCAGUUAUUAAUGGCCUGUGCAAGGUAAGAAAAUCAGAAAAAGCAUGGGAACUUUUUCCUCAAAUGCUUAAGAGGAAUGUACUCCCUGGAGUUGUUAAUUAUGGUACACUGAUGGAUGGCUUUGCUAAACAGUUGAAUUUUAAGAAGGCCUUGAUGUUGUACGCAAGAAUGCUAAAAGCUGGGGUCAUGCCUGAUACAGUCAUGUAUACAAUUCUUGUUAACAUAUUUUGCCAGAGGGGAGAAAUGCAUGAAGCGUAUAAUCUGUUCAAGGAAAUGACUGAAAAGGGUGUCCUUCCUGAUAAGAUUUCUUACACAUCUUUGAUAUCUGGAUUUAGUAGAAUGGGGGACAUGAAGAAGGCUUGGGCAUUGUUAAAUGAAAUGCUGAGGAAAGGCCAUAUGCCCAGUGUUGUCACUUAUACCUGUUUAAUUCAUGGAUUUUGUAAGUUGAAACGCAUGGAUAUUGCCAAAUUGUUGGUUGAUGAAAUGAGGAGAAACAAAGUGACCCCGGACGUGGUAACUUACACUGUUCUCAUUGUUGGGUACCGCUGUCUUGGAAAUAUUGAAAAGGCUCAUGAGUUAUUCGAUGAAAUGAAGGAAAGUGGUAUCAUUCCAGAUGAUAUUGCACAUAUUGCACGGGGGUAUAAAGCUGGUGCAGUUUCUGAAGGCUAGGAAGCUACUGGAAUGAUUUUUUGAAGACCAGAGGUUCAAAGGAUCUUCAAAAGUAUUGAAUGAACAAAGCUUGCUCACCUUGUCUGAUUGACCAGGAAUCAGUGAAGUGGAUAAUGCUCAUGAUGCCAGCUUUUUAAUGAUUGAAGAUGUAUUUAUUUAUUUAUAAUACAACUUCAUUAGUAUACAAUUGGAUUGGUUAUGGAGUUGGAUAGCAUUGCAAAGGCUACCAUGAUGCUAGGCAUGGACAAUGCUUACUCCUGGAAUUUGUUUCUCUAAGUCUCCAAAAAGGCAAGAUAUGCUUACUUCUCCAUAGUUUUACACAUUAAGUUCACUUUGAAUUUUUCCCUUGAAUUAUUUAUCAAGCUUGCUUAGUAAUGAAUGGCUUCUUAACCAAUUAAUGAUUUCCCAUUAACAAUUUCUGAAAAUUUUCAGAGGCAGAGUACUUUCCCAGUUAGAGAUUUAUCAUUAGUGAUGUUCUCUGUAACUAUUGAAUGCUGUUCAAAGAUUGAUCCAGUCUGGGGUCAGUAUGUUAUUCUCUUUCUGUCACUCUCUUUCAUAUUGCUUCUAGUGAUGGAUCCAAUUCAGCUUUGACCGUUGCAUACACGUUGAAGCCACUACAAACAACUUGAGCUUUUUCAACGUAAUUUUAUCUAGUCACUAAAAAAUGUUGAUAUGAACCUUAAUUUUCUACAGUUUUGGGCAACAGUGGAGAAAAGCAACGAAAUUAGCAUACUUAUUUUAACAGUUGAAAUAACUGUUGAGAUAUGUAUUAAAAAGAAAGGACUCCCAUUCUU